GAUGAAGAACGUAGCGAAAUGCGAUAAGUAAUGUGAAUUGCAGAAUUCAGUGAAUCAUCGAAUCUUUGAACGCACAUCGCGCCCCCUGGUAUUCCGGGGGGCAUGCCUGUUCGAGCGUCAUUUCACCACUCAAGCCUCGCUUGGUAUUGGGCAACGCGGUCCGCCGCGUGCCUCAAAUCGACCGGCUGGGUCUUCUGUCCCCUAAGCGUUGUGGAAACUAUUCGCUAAAGGGUGUUCGGGAGGCUACGCCGUAAAACAACCCCAUUUCUAAGCUUGACCUCGGAUCAGGUAGGGAUACCCGCUGAACUUAAGCAUAUCAAUAAGCGGAGGA
rnacentral:misc_RNA from 1 species